rnacentral:rRNA from 1 species
AUUGAACGCUGGCGGCAGGCUUAACACAUGCAAGUCGAACGGAGUAUAGAGCUUGCUCUAUAUUUCGUGGCGAACGGGUGAGUAAUGCCUAGGAAUCUGCCCAUUAGCGGGGGAUAACGUGCGGAAACGGACAUAAUACCGCAUACGCCCUACGGGGGAAAGCAGGGGAUCUUCGGACCUUGCACUAAUGGAUGAGCCUAGGUCGGAUUAGCUAGUUGGUAGGGUAAAGGCCUACCAAGGCUACGAUCUGUAGCGGGUCUGAGAGGAUGAUCCGCCACACUGGAACUGAGACACGGUCCAGACUCCUACGGGAGGCAGCAGUGGGGAAUAUUGGACAAUGGGGGAAACCCUGAUCCAGCCAUGCCGCGUGUGUGAAGAAGGCCUUUUGGUUGUAAAGCACUUUAAGCGAGGAGGAGGGCACUUUGGCUAAUACCCGAAUGUGUCGGACGUUACUCGCAGAAUAAGCACCGGCUAACUCUGUGC